UCGCGAAAACUUCGCAAUGGGGGCAACCCCGACGAGGGAAUUCCAAGUGCUAGCACUUUGUGUUAGCUGUUCUUCUGUCUAAAAAACAGGAGGAGUAAGGGGCGGGUAAGACGGGUGCCAGCCGCCGCGGUAAUACCCGCGCCCCAAGUGGUGGUCGAUAUUAUUGAGCCUAAAACGUCCGUAGCCGGUCUUCUAAAUCCUUGGGUAAAUCGGGCAGCUUAACUGUCCGAAGUCCGGGGAGACUGGGAGACUUGGGACCGGGAGAGGUCAGAGGUACUUCUGGGGUAGGGGUAAAAUCCUGUAAUCCUGGAAGGACCACCGGUGGCGAAGGCGUCUGACUAGAACGGAUCCGACGGUGAGGGACGAAGCCCUGGGGCGCAAACGGGAUUAGAUACCCCGGUAGUCCAGGGUGUAAACGCUGCGGGCUUGGUGUUGGGGUCCUUAGUGGGCGCCCAGUGCCGGAGAGAAGUUGUUAAGCCUGCUGCUUGGGGAGUAUGUCCGCAAGGAUGAAACUUAAAGGAAUUGGCGGGGGAGCACCGCAACGGGAGGAGCGUGCGGUUCAAUUGGAUUCAACGCCGAAAAA
rnacentral:rRNA from 1 species